rnacentral:sRNA from 1 species
CCCACUCAGUCAUGAAUUCAGGACAUGUGGCAGCACCAAAUUAGUUGAUCGCGCGUAUUUCUAUUAAAGUUUUGUGUGAUUAUGUUUUGAGUUAAAAGUGGAAAUAAUUUAAGGCCACAAAACCUUGGCAAUAACUUUACGCUUCACUGGGUUAGCAGGCGACAGCAGAUGACAACAAGGAGCACCACCAGCAGCAGCUGGAGCAGCUGAAACAGGAACGGCAAUCAGCUAAAGCUCGGUCAAUUUAAUGGAAGUAGCCAUGUCCAGGCCACAUUUAUGACAAACUGGCUGCUUAGUAUGAAGCCAGAAAGCAAAGCAGUCAAGGAGUUGCCUGCAGUCAGCGCUAAUAUAUCACGACUCGCUUUCUUUACACAUAUGCCACAUAUAAAUACACUGAGAGAAAUGUGUGUCACUUGAGUGCAGUUUAGUAAGUAAAUUAUCAAUGAAUCAAGUAAUUUAGAGCUAUAAUUUGACACUUCCACUGACAAAACGGAUUUUGUACCCAGUUUUAAAAUGUUUCUUAUUGAUUAGCAAGCAAAAUUCUCUGAGUGCUUAGAUAUAUGUAUAUGUAGGUAUAUCUGAUGUCUGGUACUAGUUGGGGCAUGCAUGUUACUUGUCGAGCCGUAAAAUGUCAGUAGUAUGAGUACAAGUGCUGUAUUGGCCCUGGCAGUUGACGCUGCACAUUUUUUUACGACCCGCCCACAAUAUGAAGUCGUAAAGUUGAAAUUUUUCGCUUCCUACUGCCGUUGCUGGUUGUUGUCGUUGUUGCUGUUUGUUGCUGCAGUUCCUGAUGUUGGCAACGCUUUUCUAUAGUAUUUAAUAAGCAUUGGCAAAUAGAACCAUGUCUUCCUCUUUAUACUUAUUUUUGUUUUGCUCUGCUGUUAAGCUAAAGGAAUUUGGAGUAUUCGGUCCCGAGGGCAGGGUUAAAAUACUUGCCACAUUAUGAGCUGCCUGUCUCUCUCUGUCUCGCUCUCGCAAAAAGUCUAUUUUAUGGGUUUACAUAGCAAAGACAGGGCUUAAAAAUAUGACCGAAACUAGAAUGAGAAAUGUGUCAUAAAACCUGCCGUAAGCUGACUCAUUUGCCUAAAUGGGCGUAAAGUAUUAUAAAUAGUGUGAGCAAAAGCAACGAGCUGUGAGCAAUGGGCUUACGAAAGGUCAGCCACGAAUAAAGAGUUCAAUAAUGGGAGAAACUAAAGCUAGAAAAUAGAGAGAAGAAUAAUAUGUUUAAUAAACUUUUAUCAAAUGGCAAUGGCAUCAUUUUUGAUAAUGUUUCAAAUUCUAUGAACUCUUUUUACACAAAUUACCUUGAUAAGCUGCCUAUAGAUUUCUCAUAGCUAUGAACAAUAGAUGUUAACAUCUUUUCGUUUCUAAAUCGCUUUUGCAAUCUUGAUGUAUCCAUCUUAUACCGUCAAGCCGUCAACUGUUCAAGCAUAAACACUUUUAAGCUUUAUAGCGCACACAUUUACACGUCGCAUUGCCUAUUCGAAGUAAACCCCGUUCUCCCUACCCCCUUCGUCUACACAUCUACCUAUGUUCAUGGUAGACUCUGCUCCCGUCUGUUCAUCCCACCCGGAUGAACGUGUUUAGUGCCAGCAAACGAUGCUGCAAUAUUAUUGUAGCUACUACCUGGCAGCUUUCCCAUGGUAAUGCCAUUUGGGAGACCGAAGACUGGGAAGGUGGGAUUGGGAUUGAGCUAAGCUGAAGCUGAAGCUGGCAGCCUUUCAGUGACGGUGUUGGCAAUGUCGUAAAUUGUUCGCAUGCAUUUUUCGGUUUAAUGAUGCAUUUACGAUGCUAGCAGCAGCGGCUACAGCAGCAGCAACAAAAACAA